GAUGAACGCUAGCUAUAGGCUUAACACAUGCAAGUCGAGCGACCGGCGCACGGGUGAGUAACGCGUAUCCAACCUGCCCAUAACUAAGGGAUAACCCAGCGAAAGUUGGACUACUACCUUAUGGUUAUGGCUGGGGAUGCGUCUGAUUAGCUUGGUGGCGGGGUAACGGCCCACCAAGGCAACGAUCAGUAGGGGUUCUGAGAGGAAGGUCCACUGGAAUGGAACUACGACACAGUCCAAACGCCGACGGGAGGCAGCAGUGAGGAAUAUUGUGGAAUGGACGCAAGUAUGAACCAGCCAAGUAGCGUGCAGGAUGACGGCCUAUGGGUUGUAAACUGCUUUUAUAUGGGGAUAGAUACCAUAUGAAUAAGGACCGGCUAAUUCCGUGCCAGCAGCCGCGGUAAUUC
rnacentral:rRNA from 1 species